UACAGAGGGUGCGAACGUUGCUCGGAAUUACUGGGCGUAAAGCGCGUGUAGGCGGUCCGUUAAGUUGGUAGUGAAAUCCCAUGGCUCAACCAUGGAAGUGCUGCCAAAACUGGCGGGCUGGAGUGCCGGAGAGGGUGGCGGAAUUCCCAGUGUAGAGGUGAAAUUCGUAGAUAUUGGGAGGAACACCGGUGGCGAAGGCGGCCACCU
rnacentral:rRNA from 1 species